UCAAGACUGGCUGUUGCAACACCUGUUUCUGAAUUGGGACCUUAAAUCGAUGAUUUUUUCAAGCGAAGACUUCAUGUAAUCCUGUGUUUGGUCAGCACCUGCUUCAGAGCGCUCAGGUUCUUAGAAAGAUGCUCAAUAUGGUAAAAUGGAACCCUGAUGUUCAGAGCCCUGAUGUAUAUCAACUCUUAUUGCC